rnacentral:rRNA from 1 species
GAUGAACGCUGGCGGCGUGCUUACCACAUGCAAGUCGAACGGAAAGGCCCAAGCUUGCUUGGGUACUCGAGUGGCGAACGGGUGAGUAACACGUGGGUGAUCUGCCCUGCACUUCGGGAUAAGCCUGGGAAACUGGGUCUAAUACCGGAUAGGACCACAUUUUGGAUGGUGUGGUGGAAAGUUUUUCGGUGUGGGAUGAGCUCGCGGCCUAUCAGCUUGUUGGUGGGGUAAUGGCCUACCAAGGCGUCGACGGGUAGCCGGCCUGAGAGGGUGUACGGCCACAUUGGGACUGAGAUACGGCCCAGACUCCUACGGGAGGCAGCAGUGGGGAAUAUUGCACAAUGGGCGCAAGCCUGAUGCAGCGACGCCGCGUGGGGGAUGACGGCCUUCGGGUUGUAAACUCCUUUCGCUAGGGACGAAGCGUUAUGUGACGGUACCUGGAGAAGAAGCACCGGCUAACUACGUG